UGGGAAUAUCCCUGGGAAUAUCCCUGUUCGGUCAAAAUAUAUCAUAAAACAAAAUGGAAGUGAAUCUGAGUUGCAGCAAACAUCCGCCUCUUCGACAAAACUCAUCUCCAUUUGAACCAAAAGAACCAACGACAAUAUUUGAAAUAGUAGGUUGCUAGAAUCAGAUGCAGAACUUUGGAGCUGAAUACUGCCAUAGAUAUAUUGAUAUAGCAGGAAAGAAGAGUCCAGAGGGAAUGACCAGAAUGUGAAGCGGAUUAGGGAGUAUCGACUGAAUUUUGAAUUGGAGCUUGAUAAUAUUGAGUGGCUUAUUGGAUGGGUGUUUGCACAAGUAUAUUCACC
rnacentral:lncRNA from 1 species